UCCGACCUCAGAUCGGACGAGAUUACCCGCUGAAUUUAAGCAUAUCACUAAGCGGAGGAAAA
rnacentral:rRNA from 1 species